UUUUCAUUGGUGACCCGAUCGGAUAUUCCCAUCCCACAUGUUUUGGAGCAAGGGGUCCACUUCGUUGCUUGCACAAGACAUUUUCUUUUCCAAAUAAGUGGGAGAUUCCUUGUUAUUACAGUAGGAUCUUGCAACUGCACAAGAAACAGAGAGAGAGGAAGCAGAAACAUGAAGAUACCUGGAAGGUAGACAACAGUUUAAAGACCUCAAUGCAGGAAGCAGAUUAAAAGCCCAGCACGCAUCUGCAAUAAAUAAAGCAAAGCACUAACCACUAAGAAUGACCAUCUAACACGCCCUCCAACAAGGUUUCAAGUGAAUCCUCUUGGAACUGCUCUACCGCCACAAAGGAGACCGACUGAACUUGAUCCAAAGAGCUUUGCUUGUGGAAACUGCUGGGCUAAGGUAUUUUUUCACCUGCGAGGUUCAUGCAUGGGUCCCAAGAACUCACACUGAGUCCCUCAGAUCCAAUGCAGAAAAUCAACUGUUCCUGUACAUUUUGAAAAAAGAACAGUUUGGCUUAAAAUUUUAAAGAUCUUAGAGCAUCCGUAGUGUCCUGCUAUUAGCUGAAUGCCAUAAAGUAUGGUAAAUGCAAACUCGCCACAACCUGUUAAAUUAUUUUCAAAUUAAUUGGCAUAAUGGAGGUCUCUGAGAAAGCUUCUUUCAGAGUUAGUUUUUAAAAUAUCUAAAACAUUUCUCUGAUGAUAGUUGCUUUUAUUAAAUAUCCACAUAAUACAAGUGAACUUUGGAGUUUUUAGCGUAGAUAAAUAUCCCUUCUCUAUCUCCAUGGCACCUUUAGUUUCCUAAGCUCUAAAUUUUGAUAAAAAGGCAUUCUUGAUUUCUGGUUGAAAACACAGAUGUGAAUAGUAACCAGGCAUGAACACUAACCCUUUUGAGUCCUUUCUCAUCUGUGCUUCAUUGAUUGGUGUUUUUGAAACUCCUGUCCCCAAAAUGCCCUGGCGCUUAAAUAAGAUAUUAACUUCGAGCUGACCAGAAUACAACCUUUAUGAUCAGGUGCUCAAGGUGUGACACAGAGCCUCAUUACAGGUCUCUGACUACUCACAUAUCUGGAGAACCUUCUUAAAAACACCUGUACGUGUGUUGCUUUAGAGAGAGGUUGGUGACUGGAGAGCUUCAUUUCCAGAGUAAAUGAAAAGAUAAUCUUAUGUCAGCCAUUUUCUAUUUUUAGAAACAAUAUUUACAAAUGCUAAACAUAUUCUUCAAUAUUUUUAAUCAGUGGGCUUCCAUUUCUGCUUUCAUCGUAUAACAAAUUUGCCUUUGAAAAUUUUGGGGACUGGAUGGUUCGCACUUCUUGCCCAUAAUAAAACAAGAAAAGUUUUUCUCAGGGUACAUGUGAACAAUAUUUGGUCAACUUUCCUGAGAAGAGGUUGAGUGUAAAUGAGCAGAGGCAUAGGAGAGUUUUUCUGACCCAGCAGAGCUUUUAAAAACUGGAAAGUUUUACUGGAAAAAUCUAAAACAUUAUGACAUUUCCUUUUGAGAUACUUAGAAUGUACCUCUCUGAGGCAGACUGAGCAAUGGCACUGCCAAACUAAAUCUCACAUUGACCACUAAUCAGGAAGCGCUUACUGAGUACCUAUGGUACAUCAAAGGAACAUGAAAGAAAACCACAAGACGCCACACAUGAAAAAUAAAUAUGCUUCUAAGCACCUGGCAUUGUUUUGUAGCUUGUUGAAAGCUGCUGUUGGAAUGGUUCCAGGCCACAGUUGGAUUGAUCAGACUUCUUUCUACCUUUAGCCGUAGAGCAGCGACUGUCAGCCAGCUUUGGUAUGAACAGAGGUGUGCAUCCAAUGGCCCCACUCACACAGAGGCAGCUAAACAGGGGGUUGGGCUGAAAGACUUGGCCAUUACGAUAAUGUACCCUGUUGAACUCGCAUCCCACAGCUAGAAGGUCUGAAAAGAAAGAAGAGCAAAAUCACCAACAAAGCCAUAACUGAUAGUCCACACCUGACAUGAUAAACACAGAGAGAAUUGGAGGAAACUUUCACUCCUCUGAGAGGCAUUCUGGACCUGGAUCAACAGUUCUCAAAAGCAUGACCCCUCGGAACUUGGCAACACUGAGACCCUUGCAAGAAAAUCUGCAAGGUCAAAACUCUUUUUCGGAAUACUAAGAUGUGCCUGGCUGUUUUCACUGUGUUGCUAUUUACACUGAAGAUACAAAAGCAGUGGUGACUAGAGCUGCUGCUGGAACCUUAGCAUGAAGCAGACUGUUCAGGGUAGUCACUGCAUUUUUGCCUUGCCACUGCACUUGUCCAUAAAUGCACUUUUUUUGGGGGGAAGCUAGUUUUACUUAAUAAUGUCCUGACAGUACAGCAAAAAUUAUUAACUUUAUCAAAUAUAUGUCUUUUUAAUAUCCUUUGUGAUAAAAUAGGAAGUAUCCUUAGAGCAUUUCUAUACAUAUUAUAUCAUCUUGAGGAGAAGCACCUAUUCUAUAUGAGUUUUGGGCUGAACCAACCACUUUUUUAGUAGGAAUUUCACCUGAAGAAAUUCACUGACAGGUAAACCAUGAUAACUCAGGUAUUUGGCAGACAUUUCCUUGAAAAUCAACAGUGAGUCUGUCACUUCAAGGAAAACAACUUUCAGGCCAAUGACAGAAUUCAGGCUUUCAAGCAAAAAAUAGAAUUUUGGAAAAUCUGUAUCCACCACUGAGAUCUUUAUAGCUACCCAAUAUACAGACUUUUCUGAUGAGAUUAGUAUUAAUUAAUGUGAUUUUUAAAAAUAUUGUAUAAUUAAGUGUAUCAAUAUUUGGAACAUCUACAUAACCAUUGUUCCAAACUAGCAUUUUCCAAAUAGCCAAUGCAUGGUAUUACAAAAUUAUGCAUAAGUAAAAAACCCAUUCCAAGGAGGUCUUGGAUAGGCCAUUUUAUUGUCAGAGUUUGACAAGUUCAUUGAUAUGGUUUCAGAUUCCAUGAUGCAGCUAAUUUUCAAGAAACUACCACUUCUCAAGUUUUAAUGUAAUAUCAAAAAGAAUAUUCACAAUUAUCUUAAAAUUCUGUUAAAAUAUUCCUGCCUUUUCCAAUGAUCUAUCUGUGUCAGGCUGGAUUCCCUUCAUAGAUUUCAACCAAAAUAACAUACAGGAAUAGACUGAUAGCAGAAGCAGAUAAGGAAAUCUAACUAUCUUCCAUUAAGCUGGACAUUAGAGAGAGGUGCAAAAAAUGUAAACCUGUUCCAUUCUUCUCACUAGUUUUUCUUUGUUUUAGAAAAUAAAAUAUUAUUUUGUAAAUAUAUUAUUCCCAGCAAGUUGCAAUGGGUUUCCUAUUUUUAAAUAAAUUAGUAUUUUUAAAUUUCUAAUCCAUUUAAAUACCAGUAGAGAAAACCUACAUAAACAA